rnacentral:SRP_RNA from 1 species
GCCGGGCGCGGUGGCACAUGCCUGUAGUCCCAGCUACUCGGGAGGCUGAGGUGGGAGGAUCGCUUGAGCCCAGGAGUUCUGGGCUGUAGUGUGCUAUGCCAAUCGGGUGUCCGCACUAAGUUCUGCAUCUAUACGGUGACCUCCCGGGAGCGGGGGACCACCAGCUUGCCUAAGGAGGGGUGAACCGGCCCAGGUUGGAAACAGAGCAGGUCAAAACUCCCGUGCUGAUCAGUACUGGGAUCGCGCCAGUGAAUAGCCACUGCACUCCAGCCUGAGCAACAUAGCGAGACCCCGUCUCU